rnacentral:rRNA from 1 species
UUCGGAUAUGAUUAGAGCGGCGGACGGGUGAGUAACGCGUAGGAAUCUACCUAGUAGAAGGGGAUAGCCCGAGGAAACUCGGAUUAAUACCGUAUACCUCCUUCGGGAGAAAGAAGGCCUCUCUUUGAAGCUUUCGCUACUAGAUGAGCCUGCGUAAGAUUAGCUUGUUGGUGGGGUAAUGGCCUACCAAGGCAACGACGGGUAGCUGGUCUGAGAGGGCGACCGGCCACACUGGGACUGAGACACGGCCCAGACUCC